rnacentral:rRNA from 1 species
UGAGUGAAGAAGGCCUUCGGGUUGUAAAGCUCUUUUGUCAGGGAAGAAACGGCUGAGGAUAAUACCUUCGGCUAAUGACGGUACCUGAAGAAUAAGCACCGGCUAACUACGUGCCAGCAGCCGCGGUAAUACGUAGGGUGCAAGCGUUAAUCGGAAUUACUGGGCGUAAAGCGUGCGCAGGCGGUUUUGUAAGUCUGACGUGAAAGCCCCGGGCUCAACCUGGGAAUUGCGUUGGAGACUGCAAGGCUUGAAUCUGGCAGAGGGGGGUAGAAUUCCACGUGUAGCAGUGAAAUGCGUAGAGAUGUGGAGGAACACCGAUGGCGAAGGCAGCCCCCUGGGUCAAGAUUGACGCUCAUGCACGAAAACGUGGGGAGCAAACAGGAUUAGAUACCCUGGUAGUCCACGCCCUAAACGA